rnacentral:rRNA from 1 species
AGUGAACGCUGGCGGUAGGCCUAACACAUGCAAGUCGAACGGCAGCACAGGAGAGCUUGCUCUCUGGGUGGCGAGUGGCGGACGGGUGAGGAAUACAUCGGAAUCUACUCUGUCGUGGGGGACAACGUAGGGAAACUUACGCUAAUACCGCCUACGACCUACGGGCGAAAGCAGGGGACCUUCAGGCCUUGCGCGAUUGACUGAGCCGAUGGCGGAUUAGCUAGGUGGCGGGGUAAAGGCCCACCAAGGCGACGAUCCGUAGCUGGUCUGAGAGAAUGAUCAGCAACACUGGAACUGAGACACGGUCCAGACUCCUACGGGAGGCAGCAGUGGGGAAUAUUGGACAAUGGGCGCAAGCCUGAUCCAGCCAUACCGCGUGGGUGAAGAAGGCCUUCGUGUUGUAAAGCCCUUUUGUUGGGAAAGAAAUCCAGCUGGCUAAUACCCGGUUGGGAUGACGGUACCCAAAGAAUAAGCACCGGCUAACUUCGUGCCAGCAGCCGCCGCAG